rnacentral:rRNA from 1 species
AUACGGAGGGUCCAAGCGUUAUCCGGAUUCAUUGGGUUUAAAGGGUCCGCAGGCGGGAAAAUAAGUCAGUGGUGAAAGCCUACAGCUCAACUGUAGAACUGCCAUUGAAACUGUUUUUCUUGAGUAUAGAUGAAGUGGGCGGAAUAUAUCAUGUAGCGGUGAAAUGCAUAGAUAUGAUAUAGAACACCGAUUGCGAAGGCAGCUCACUAAACUAUUACUGACGCUCAGGGACGAAAGCGUGGGGAGCGAACAGGAUUAGAUACCCCAGUAGUCC